GACUUAAAAACUCAACCACCAAACAGCACAGUGUACACCACAACAUUAAAACCAUCAGUAGAAACCCGCAUUCCUGGCACAGCAUUGAUCGCAAUACCUGUGUGUUUGGCACUUGCAAUCCUCUUAAUUGUAGCCUCUAUUUUCAUCUUUAAAUGUAGAAAAAAGUGUUGCUGCACUUCAGAAGAGCCCAUCUACGCAAAUAAAACAGCUUAUAAUUCAAGGAAAUAAAAGGUCACAGAAAUAAAUGUGAGCAUUGCAGUGAUGCAUUUCUGUUUGCCAAACCGGAAGUUAACAUCACCCUGGUUCCCUCAACAAAAACCUAACAUUUUUUUUUUUUGUCUGUUGCUGUUCAUAUGUGUUAAGUGUAGAUGUUGUAGAUUUUUGAUAGUUCACUACUGAAAUCUUUGCUUACCACUGACAGUGAAAUUGUUGUGUAAAAUGUCAGAACACAUUUUGUAUUUGCAUUUGUGGUAUCUAUUAGCAACAUAACAAUUUUGUAUUAUUAUUGUACUGUUCUGCGGGUCCCAAUUUAAAUUAAGUGCAUUUAACAAUGUACAAACA